GGUGGAGCGAUUUGUCUGCUUAAUUGCGAUAACGAACGAGACUCUAGCAUAUUAAAUAGACGACACUUCUUUAAGAGUGCCGAUCUUCUUAGAGGGACAAGCGGCUUUUAGUCGCACGAGAUUGAGCAAUAACAGGUCUGUGAUGCCCUUAGAUGUCCGGGGCUGCACGCGCGCUACACUGGGAGCAUCAGCAUGCAUCCUAACCUGCUCCGGAAGGAGUGGGUAACCCGCUGAAACGCUUCCGUGAUUGGGAUAGGGAAUUGCAAUUAUUUCCCUUGAACGAGGAAUUCCUAGUACGUGCGAGUCAUCAGCUUGUAUGGAC
rnacentral:rRNA from 1 species